rnacentral:rRNA from 1 species
UUUUAUGGAGAGUUUGAUCCUGGCUCAGGAUGAACGCUGGCGGCGUGCCUAAUACAUGCAAGUCGAGCGAACGGACGAGAAGCUUGCUUCUCUGAUGUUAGCGGCGGACGGGUGAGUAACACGUGGAUAACCUACCUAUAAGACUGGGAUAACUUCGGGAAACCGGAGCUAAUACCGGAUAAUAUUUUGAACCGCAUGGUUCAAAAGUGAAAGACGGUCUUGCUGUCACUUAUAGAUGGAUCCGCGCUGCAUUAGCUAGUUGGUAAGGUAACGGCUUACCAAGGCAACGAUGCAUAGCCGACCUGAGAGGGUGAUCGGCCACACUGGAACUGAGACACGGUCCAGACUCCUACGGGAGGCAGCAGUAGGGAAUCUUCCGCAAUGGGCGAAAGCCUGACGGAGCAACGCCGCGUGAGUGAUGAAGGUCUUCGGAUCGUAAAACUCUGUUAUUAGGGAAGAACAUAUGUGUAAGUAACUGUGCACAUCUUGACGGUACCUAAUCAGAAAGCCACGGCUAACUACGUGCCAGCAGCCGCGGUAAUACGUAGGUGGCAAGCGUUAUCCGGAAUUAUUGGGCGUAAAGCGCGCGUAGGCGGUUUUUUAAGUCUGAUGUGAAAGCCCACGGCUCAACCGUGGAGGGUCAUUGGAAACUGGAAAACUUGAGUGCAGAAGAGGAAAGUGGAAUUCCAUGUGUAGCGGUGAAAUGCGCAGAGAUAUGGAGGAACACCAGUGGCGAAGGCGACUUUCUGGUCUGUAACUGACGCUGAUGUGCGAAAGCGUGGGGAUCAAACAGGAUUAGAUACCCUGGUAGUCCACGCCGUAAACGAUGAGUGCUAAGUGUUAGGGGGUUUCCGCCCCUUAGUGCUGCAGCUAACGCAUUAAGCACUCCGCCUGGGGAGUACGACCGCAAGGUUGAAACUCAAAGGAAUUGACGGGGACCCGCACAAGCGGUGGAGCAUGUGGUUUAAUUCGAAGCAACGCGAAGAACCUUACCAAAUCUUGACAUCCUUUGACAACUCUAGAGAUAGAGCCUUCCCCUUCGGGGGACAAAGUGACAGGUGGUGCAUGGUUGUCGUCAGCUCGUGUCGUGAGAUGUUGGGUUAAGUCCCGCAACGAGCGCAACCCUUAAGCUUAGUUGCCAUCAUUAAGUUGGGCACUCUAAGAUGACUGCCGGUGACAAACCGGAGGAAGGUGGGGAUGACGUCAAAUCAUCAUGCCCCUUAUGAUUUGGGCUACACACGUGCUACAAUGGACAAUACAAAGGGCAGCGAAACCGCGAGGUCAAGCAAAUCCCAUAAAGUUGUUCUCAGUUCGGAUUGUAGUCUGCAACUCGACUACAUGAAGCUGGAAUCGCUAGUAAUCGUAGAUCAGCAUGCUACGGUGAAUACGUUCCCGGGUCUUGUACACACCGCCCGUCACACCACGAGAGUUUGUAACACCCGAAGCCGGUGGAGUAACCUUUUAGGAGCUAGCCGUCGAAGGUGGGACAAAUGAUUGGGGUGAAGUCGUAACAAGGUAGCCGUAUCGGAAGGUGCGGCUGGAUCACCUCCUUUCUAA